rnacentral:rRNA from 1 species
AACGCGAAGAACCUUACCCAGGCUUGACAUGCAGAAGACAGCGCCAGAGAUGGCGUCUCCCUUAGGGGCUUCUGCACAGGUGCUGCAUGGCUGUCGUCAGCUCGUGCCGUGAGGUGUUGGGUUAAGUCCCGCAACGAGCGCAACCCUUAUCAUUAGUUGCCAACAUUUAAGGUGGGAACUCUAAUGAGACUGCCCGGGUUAACCGGGAGGAAGGUGAGGAUGACGUCAAGUCCGCAUGGCCCUUAUGUCUGGGGCUACACACGUGCUACAAUGGUCGGUACAGAAGGCAGCGAAACCGCGAGGUGGAGCAAAUCCCAAAAACCGAUCUCAGUUCGGAUUGUAGUCUGCAACUCGACUACAUGAAGAUGGAAUUGCUAGUAAUGGCGUGUCAGCAACAACGCCGUGAAUACGUACUCGGGCCUUGUACACACCGCACGA